GUUAACAUUUUCAAGAUGACACAUUUGGGUGAAGGAGGGAGAAGACUGCCAGUGGGCGCUAUGCGCCUUCUGUCCCCAGAGUCAGGGCAGUUAGAAUCAACUCUGAACUGUAAAUUACACUAUCAAGACCAAGUGGCUGACAAUGAGAUCCAGAGACCUUGUACUGCUUCACUCGUCCACAGGGGGAACCUUUAACGUGACAGACUUCAAAUCUGGAACAAUUCGUGAAACUCUCUAACGAAUUAAUAUUUUACAUUCAUCAGAAGUCAAAAUAAGCCUGACCUUCAGUAUGACAGACUGAAGAUUAGAAGACGUGAAACAUUAAACUGUUUUGCUGCUAUACAAAGCAAUCCCUGGAGGUCAAUGUUGGAAGAUUGCUUGAAUGGAAGGCAUUUAAUACAAACAAGGAGAAUUGCUAUUUGCUUAUGAAUACUGGAUUCAUUGUGGGGAAAAAAAUCAAUUAAAAGCAAAAGACAAUGGCAAAAAAAUAACAGAUUUCCUAUUAGCAAAUACCAUCUUUAACCUGUGAUGCAUAUCGUGAAGGAUUUUUUUAAUUACUUGUAAACACUGGGCAUACAUGCAUAGAUAAGGCUCUUUCUGUGUAUUCCGUGUUGCUAUGAGACAUUAUCUUAGGUAACCUUACUGAACUACUUUAGUGCCUAAGUGUAGAUGUGUAGAACUCCGCAGAUGUGCAUGAUGAACUUCGGAAGCGAAAAAGAGAAAAUGAAGAGAGAAUAUAUCACAUCAUCACUAGGUGGCACUGCUGAGCUGGAUUUCCGGAGGCUUUGCUCCUCAGCUGAAUGCGGACGAUUUUAUUUCUCGUGGUUACAAACGGUGCCAAUCCAACAGAAUUCUCACAGUACAAAAAAUCCCUGUAGGCAAAAAAAAAAACAUGCAAGAUAAAUAUAAUAAUAAUCAUUCAGCUUUUAUAAUCCCAUGAUUCAACCGGUCAUGUCUGUGUGAAUGACAGGGAGCUGCGUUUAUCUGCCAAAUCCACUGUCCAUAAUGCUGCUUAUACAUAAUGUGCUGAAGUAGAGCUUUGCAUAAUGUCUCCGGUAUACAAAGGCAAAUCUAAAUGCAUCACUGUAUGUAACAAAAUGGAUGAACUGGAAAUAAAAUUAAC